rnacentral:rRNA from 1 species
ACGUAGGGGGCAAGCGUUAUCCGGAAUUAUUGGGCGUAAAGAGUGCGUAGGUGGUUUUUUAAGCGUGAGGUGAAAGGCAAUAGCUUAACUAUUGUAAGCCUUGCGAACUGGAAGACUUGAGUGCAGGAGAGGAAAGUGGAAUUCCUAGUGUAGCGGGGUUUUGCGUAUAUAUUAGACGCGACGCCAGGGAGGCAGGAGACGUAAUGGGUUUUAACUGCCACUGUGGCGCCUAACCGUCGAGAGCAAACAG